rnacentral:rRNA from 1 species
GAUGAACGCUAGCGGCAGGCCUAAUACAUGCAAGUCGAGGGACAGCACAGGUAGCAAUACUGGGUGGUAACCGGCAAACGGGUGCGGAACACGUACACAACCUUCCUUUAAGUGGGGGAUAGCCCAGAGAAAUUUGGAUUAAUACCCCGUAAUAUAGUUUGGUGGCAUCACUGGACUAUUAUAGCUACGGCGCUUAAUGAUGGGUGUGCGGCUGAUUAGAUAGUUGGCGGGGUAACGGCCCACCAAGUCUACGAUCAGUAGCUGAUGUGAGAGCAUGAUCAGCCACACGGGCACUGAGACACGGGCCCGACUCCUACGGGAGGCAGCAGUAAGGAAUAUUGGUCAAUGGACGCAAGUCUGAACCAGCCGUGCCGCGUGAAGGAUUAAGGUCCUCUGGAUUGUAAACUUCUUUUAUUUGGGACGAAAAAGGGUCUUUCUAGAUCAACUGACGGUACCAGAUGAAUAAGCACCGGCUAACUCCGUGCCAGCCGCCGCGGUAAAAC